GCCCGAUUAACUCAGUUGGUCAGAGUGUCGUACUAAUACAUACCCCAUGUAUCUGGUCAUGCGAAAGUCGACAGUUCAAGCCUGUCAUUGGGCA